rnacentral:sRNA from 1 species
ACAUAACACUUCGCAGCUUGAAAUUAUAGGUGUGCGAUACGAUUCCUGAAUAGUCAAAAGUUGAUGGUUUACCGGCAAUUCCUUUGCCCAUUUUUCAGAUGAUAUGUUUUGAGAUGGUGGCAAAUUAACGCAUCGACACACGGGGCACUCAAAAGAUAUUGUUCUGUGGUUUUUGACACAGUCAACCAUGGAUGAAUCAAUGAAUGAUCGGAUACAUAGCUCACAGAAGGAAUGAAGACAAGAUAAUUUGCAGUUCUUCGAAAAUCCUCUUCCAUCAUAUAUUUGCUCAACCAUCCAAGAUGGCGUCAAACCGUCCAAAACAUCGAAAAAGAGUUGCAGGACAACAGGUAUUGGUCUGUUCAGAUUUUGUUGUAUAUCCGCCAUCGAAGGAACGACACUGACAAAAAAUAUUUUCUCGAAUUGAAUUCCGGUAGGAAUUUGACCUGAGUACUUGAAAUGUGUAAAUUAAAUUUUAACACUUUAAAAAAAUUGAAACAGAAAAUCGUACAUAUAAUUGUUAUUUAUAGAUGAUUGUCUCAAUUUUUUAAAACCUAUAUUACAUGUAGCUCAUAAACAUGCAUUAU